GACGAACGCUGGCGGCGUGCUUAACACAUGCAAGUCGAGCGGUAAGGCCCUUUCGGGGGUACACGAGCGGCGAACGGGUGAGUAACACGUGGGUGACCUGCCCUUAGCUCUGGGAUAAGCCUGGGAAACUGGGUCUAAUACCGGAUAUGACUCCAUGACGCAUGUUGUGGGGUGGAAAGCCUUGUGCGGCUAGGGAUGGGCCCGCGGCCUAUCAGCUUGUUGGUGGGGUGAUGGCCUACCAAGGCGACGACGGGUAGCCGGCCUGAGAGGGCGACCGGCCACACUGGGACUGAGACACGGCCCAGACUCCUACGGGAGGCAGCAGUGGGGAAUCUUGCGCAAUGGGCGGAAGCCUGACGCAGCGACGCCGCGUGGGGAUGACGGCCU
rnacentral:rRNA from 1 species